CUAAUUUUGAUCAACUAAUUGAGGUAUGCAUCUGAAAAAAGUCUUGUACUAUGUAUUUUGAUUGAGUACAACUUAAUUUUUGUCUGUUUCACUGAAUUAGAAGCUGCAAAUCAUUAGGAAAAGGAGGAAAUGUUAAAAGAUGAAUUUCAAUUUGUGAUAAUAACUUAAUUUUCAUUCCUGCCGCCUAUGACAUGAAAGCAUCUAUUUCGAAACUAGCGAGACCACCAUAACUCUUUGCUUACUAUUCAAUCCAUCCAAUGAGUUCUAAAAUUUCUAUUGGUUACAUUUGAAAACCCAAUAUUUGAGUUUCAUCUUUUACUUCAAAUUGCAUAAAUAAGGUCCUGAGUUAUAAAAAGCUGAAAGAAAUGCAUAUAUUAAAUUGUAUUGUUAGUGUAUUACUUGGUCAAUCUUGGAAUUUCAAAUUCUUAUAUUCUCAGCCGCUUUUUUUCUUUCGCAUUUGUAAAUCUAUUCAACCAAACAAAAUAUGGAUUUUAAACCUUAUUCAAAUCUGAAUCUCUUUGGUUUAGAUUCCUUUAUCUAAACAUAUGGUUGUUUAAGGCACGCCAUAGAUGCACGAGCACCUAAGGCGCAAGGCACACUAGGCCCUUGAGCCAACCCUUCUAUUAGGGUGAGUUGAAGUGACAUCAGAAAGGCAGAUGCCUUUUGUGGCUGCAGGGGGUGCCUCACAAAGCUCCACCAUUGUCAAGUUCUUCAACACUAAACUUGCAACUUUCUGAUCUGACAGAAUCUGGUACCACUGAGCCAGAAUGUCUUUGGAAACACUCUCACUGGCUUGUGAAACUCACAAAAAAUUCAACAGGAUCACCAUAUCUAAAGUUUCUUUUGAUGGGCACUCUUGUCUUCCUUGUUUCGUUGCUUUCUUCACUGUUGUCCCCCUUUUUUUGUUAUAAAUGGUCAAGAAUAUCUUUGGGCAAGCUUAUGCACACGGAGAUUAGGUCCCCUGUUCAGGCGAUCUUAAGGAUGCAUUCUCCCACAUUGGCCUACUGUAUUUAGGAUAUUUUUUAAACAUUUGUCGAGCACACUCCAGCAAAGUGGAACCUUGGUUGAUAAGGAAACGAGCUCCCAUCCUUAUCAAUUGGAAUAAUCCCGUUGGGUCCCUGUUUAAUAUUUUAGAUGCAUUUGAUAUCAUUUUUUUUAAAUAUCUUCUUUGUAUUGUGCAAGCAAAUAACAGUAGUACAGCUAGUAGGAAAGUGAAUUCAUAAAAGUGUAGGAGUUAUUGUAAUAUGGUUUUAUUACUGAAUGGAUUACAUUCAAGUUAUUU
rnacentral:misc_RNA from 1 species